GUGUGUGUGUGUGUGCUCAGGGUAGUCAGUCAGUCUCUCUGCCCACGCAGUUCAUUGGCUAAAGGCGGCACAUCAGCCGGUGCUGGGGUACGAAACUCAGGACUUGCUGUUUAGCCCAUUGACUCCAUUCUGUCUCAGUGCUUUGUCAAUCUCUCUCGCUCCUGACGUUUCCAUUCGGACUCUCACUGCGUCUUCCUGUCUCGUUGACCACGCCCCCUUCUGUCGGUCCGUCUGCAUUCCACAUGUCGUCGUCCUUGCCUGCAGUCUGUCUGGGCGUCUGUGAUUGGCGUAAUUAAAGGUGUCAGGAGGUCUCCAGCGGAGCACAUCAGACUUCAUGGCUCAUUAAAGGACACUUCCAGUGUUCUAGAACACGGACAGCUGUAAGCUUCAGAGGAAGAUGACGGUGUUCUAGAACGUUUCCAGUCAUCCCACCGAACAGAAAGGUUGGCGUGGUUCUAGAACAUGUAAUCGUGAAGGGUCAGCUAAAGAAAACUGACUGUAUUCAAGAACACAGAGCAGUUCUAGGUCUCAUUGACAGUGUUCUACAACACAAGUAGUUAUAUAUUUCAUCGGUAAGUGUAACAAUGUUUUAGAAUACACACAACCAAACCCCCACCCAAGAAAAGCUGGUUGUGUUCUAAAACAUUCAUUAUCAUCUAGUUCUUAUUAGACAAGAGUGACAAUUUUCUAGAACACACUUAACCAUACGAUUUACAUGGCAAGUGUUAGAGCAUUCCAGAAUAUAUAACAGCACAAACUCCACCUUGUGGGUCAACUAUGUGACAAUUUGCAGGUGUCCAUAAAAAGCAUGACAAUGUUCUAGAAUGCACUGAACUGUUAGUCCCAUUAGAGGACUGUUCUAGAACACACAAGGUUGCAGAUCACUCCUAACAAGUGUGUUUGUUCAGUACACUAUGUCAGGCUACAGGAUUCACUAACGGACUGUUGGACUGUUCUAGAACACAUUAGGCUACAGGACCCAACAAAGGCACAUGGCAGUAACCAAAAGGCAGUGGGUCCCAAUAACAAAUGUUGGCUGUGUUCUGGAAUAUUUAAGUCAUAAACAAGUUUUUCUAGGCUACAAUUCCCAUUAAAGAAGGAUGUAGUAGAACACAAAGAUCUGAGGUAAUGGGCCCAGCAAAAGCUUGUGGGAAUGUUCUAGACUGCUAGGCAUCAGGCCUUAUAAAUGAAUAGUGGUAGUGCUCUAGAACAUACAAAGCUGUAAAUUAAUGGAGUGUGACACUGUUCUCAAACAUAUCAGACUGUGAGGGUUCUAGGUCGCUAAACCUCAGUAGUGGAAUAGUGGUAUUUCCCUUCUGGAAUGAUUCAGGCUGGAAAUCUGACUAAGGAAAUGUGAUAUUCUUUUAAAGUACUGCCAACUGAUUUGGCACAAGAUUGUCAUGGUGUUCCAGAAUGUAUCAGAAUAUUGAGCAGUAAUGUAGAGUGUGCUAAAGCAGUGCUGGUGUUCUAGAAUCUACCCCUCCAUUAUAUUCUGAGCAGGGCCACAGGGGUGCUGGAGCCUAUCCCAGCAAGUAAAGGGCACAAAGCAGGAACAGCCACUGGACAGGACACCAGUACGUCACAGUGUUCUAGAAUCCACCAAGCCUUGUCGUCUGGGCCUGCUGCAGUAUCCUUCUAGAACUCUGUCAUAUGGGGGAAUGACAGAUUUCUUCAGGAACUAAUCAGGCCACAGGUCUCACUGAGGAAGAGCGUCAGCAUUCUUCCCAGGAGCUUCAGGGAGCAGGUCACUCUAGGGGCCACAACAGGAGGGUGAGGCCCCCAGGUCCAAGACAAAGGGUCACUGAUUAGGUGACAGCUCAGCCACAUGCACAGAGAGGCGCAGCUUGUGAUUGCUGAAUGACCUGCCACUCCACUGCUCCUCUCCUGGGCUGCGGUCCCUCUGCACUGUAAACAGAGCCAGCUGGACGAAUGUCCUUUAAACAAUCGCUUGGUGACCCAUCAGCUGACCGCUGCAAUGUCUCGGCUCAACUCCACUCUCCACUGACCCUUCCUUUCACGAGUGACAGCUUCUCUGGCAGCCUGGCUGGCACUCUAAUGCCCUCUGCUGGUCAUAAUGAAGAACUGCUUUUUUAAUCCAAGAUGGUUUAUGUUGCUCCUCACCCACCUGUCUUUCUUUCUAUCGAUCACUGAGCCACUCAAGGAGUGGCCAGCUUAGGAGGCCAACAUGACAAACGUCAGUGCAGAUGACAGCUGGGCAGGGAGGCAGACCAGGCAUGGGACAAAGACCAGCGAGUAGGCUCAGGGGAGAUGUUAGCACUGAUGAACUCUGAAAUGUGUGUCUACGAAAGGCGCUAUAUACAAUAAAAAUUCUCUUGAUUACAUCUUAUCUUAGCACAAACAGUUAAAUGCGUCUUCAGUAUGAGCCUGUAGAGAGCCAUAAAGUGAUUACCCAAUUAUAUUUAUAUACCGCUUUUCUAACCCACUGAAAACACUUGGCAUAGAGAGUGGGGGGCCACCAAUGUGCAGCAUCCACCCGGAUGACGCAACGGCAGCCAUUAUUGCCUCAGCAGGUUCACCACACAUUUAGGGGGUGAAGUGGUGAGAGAGAGCCCUUUAGAAACGGGGGAUGAUUAGGGACUCAGAAGGGACAAGGUGGGCAGUUUUUGCCAGGACAUCAGGUCACACUCCACUUUUUUCAGAGGAUACCCAGAGAUCUUUAACGAUCACAGAGAGUCAAGACCUCAGUGUUUCACCUCAUCUGAAUGAUGUCACCAUUUUUAUCCCCAUCACUGCACUGGGACACACUGAGAUUAACAUGCAGACCAUAGGGUUAGCGCCCCCUGCUGGCCUCACCAACACCUCUUCCAGCAGCAACCCAAGCUUUUCUCCCAUCCAAGUACUGGCCGGAGCUAAACAUGCUUAGCUUCAGGUGGAUGGCCUCUUCUGAAGCGUUGGUGGGAUGGCUGCUGGGCAUGUGGGCAUUGAAUGUACACAGACAGGCUGGAUGGGGUGAAAAGAAGCAGAGCCUACUGUGCCAUUCUGAGCCCUACCUAAGCCACUACCAACCCUACCAAUCCAUCUCAGGGCUCACAGGGAGAGCACGCAAACAUCACACAAGGCCAAGGAAAAAAUAAAUUAAAGUAAUUUUAAAAGGCCGCUUACACCUCCCCUUUGUCAUCCGGGUGAUGCCCAUCAAAUCAGAACUGGACAGCAUACACGGCGCCCUCUUCUGUCUUGUUUUGGAAUAGCCUUUCAUUUUCUGAAAGGAUGAAGGUAAAUCAAAAACGAAAGGCAAUUUGAAAAGUACGAGGUAACCGCAACGGAUACAAGUUGACACGAUACAACACGCUUGCAGUGGCUUGUGGGUAAGUUCAGACAUGCACAGUGCAGCACUCUGCCGUUAGUCUGGUUGAAGCCAAGGUGAAAUCAACGUGGACGCUCCGCUGUGGGAUUGCACCGGUAUUGAACAACACACCUUAGUGAGAUUUCAUUGAGCGGUGGGAGUGAAACCCGCUAACAUUCACUGUCAACUCAGUACUGGAAGUGAAAACAGCAGGACGCAACGAAAGGUCUAUGAACGGAUAGAAAGGGAAGAACCGACGAGGCUCGAUCUGGUCGACCGUCAGCAUGGUGCACACGAACCCACAUCGACACGGCGAUAGCCUUCAUCAGUGCAGACCGACGGAUUCCGUUGUCCGCUGUUGCUGCUCCUUUGGAUAUCAGCUGUGGAUCCGCACGUACCAGACAUGUAGUGCACGAUGGGCACCCAGCCAGCUUACCGAGCAGCACUGAACCAACAUCCUUCGAUCAAUUUCAGCAGGCUUCACUCCGUCUGCCCAAAGUGAUCUCACUAUAGUGUGCCAUUCAAUGACGGUGCAAUGCCCACGUUCGCUUGAUCGUCUACGGAAGUCGAACUCCCGUCCUGGUAGGCUGCAGGAUUUCAUUCUCACCCUUUUCCUAAUCAGUGAUCCGUUUUCACUGCUAAUUAACUUCUUUUCCUUUCAUUUUAAUAGCCCCGUUUUUUAGGCAUUCUGACCUCCGAGUUGAUUCUUUGCCUCAUUAAAUGGCAGCCAAACAGAAAUGAGGCCUGAAACGAGCUGACAGAUGACCAGCUAAAUCGGGGCUUCAAACUCUAACCGGUUUCUUAAUGCUGUUAAUUAAUUAAACCCGUUAUUUAAUUCCAUCCAAUUCUGAUCUCAUUCGGCUACAACAGACAUCUCCAAAACUGUUGAUUUUCCAUUUUUCUAAGAACAUUGUCAAAAUGUUUUGGUGACCUGAGCAGAUCAGCCUUACUGAGACCUUCACCUUUCUUCAUUUUCAGAUAUUGUGGUUAGCUGGUCAUGUGGAGGCUCGUUUUGUGUUUACUUAUUGUGUGGCUGCUAAUUAAGGAAAAAGAAACAACUAAGGGGUCUGAGUCACGUCAAUUAAAACAAAGGCAAAAGAAGUUAAUUAGCAGCAAACACUGAUCACUAAUUAAGAAGACGGUUAGAAUGAAAACCUGCAGCCCUGCAGCCCUCCAGGA